rnacentral:rRNA from 1 species
CACAAUGACUCUCGGCAACGGAUAUCUCGGCUCUUGCAUCGAUGAANAACGUAGCGAAAUGCGAUACUUGGUGUGAAUUGCAGAAUCCCGUGAACCAUCGAGUCUUUGAACGCAAGUUGCGCCCGAAGCCAUUAGGCCGAGGGCACGCCUGCCUGGGUGUCACA